rnacentral:lncRNA from 1 species
UAUAUAUAUAUAUCUGCUACCAGACUAGCUCAUGGUGUGGGAAGCAUCUCAUAUUGUUCACUGAAUCUAUUGAUGAAUCUGAAGCAAUUCAAGAGGUGGAGCAAAAACUAUUUAUGCCUAUAGGUUGUCCGAACUACACCUUUAAUUCUAAUUACCUUGUUUGGUCUCCUUCUGUGUGAUAUCACUUUGUUCUGUAUAGUUGUCACUGGGACCUAUAUAUUACUUCUUUCAUGAAUCAUGGAUGUAUGAAGACAUGAAGUCAGAUAUAAUAUAAAACAAAACCUAUAUAUUACUUCUUGCAUGAAUCAUGGAUGUAUGAAGACAUGAUGUCAGAUAUAAUAUAAAAGAAAAUGCAUAUGAAUACUUUCAAGACCGAUCUUUGUGUUCAUUUACCAGAAGAUACAUUAUAAUAGUACUAAUGGACGCAUUUGUCCACUAAUAUGUUCAUUUAAUUUUGUAACCUAUGUUUUUCAUCUCAUGUACCAUUAGGAACAUUUGGUAGAUAAUUAUUUUAGUCAAGACGCAACAUGUUGUUUUGAUGUAUUUUGCUAUCGAUAUUCUGAAAUUGUUUUGUAUACUUUGUUUUGUUACAAAGCAAACAUGUGGGUUUAUGGUCACCUCAUUUCUAUAUGCAUACUUUAUAUAUGGUUGAUGAUUUUGUGGUAGUCAAUUACUAAGUCUUCUCUUUAUAUUUUUCCACAAUAAGUGAAAUGAAAGGCCACAAACAACGCUUCUCCGGGAAGUGAAUUUUAUGGUGCCUUGCAUUCUGCUCAUUUGGCGCAAUUGUUCAUCACAAAGAGGAGGGGAGAGGUCUACCCUUGGGAAAUGGGUGCCUCUCCAGUCAAGCGAGCGACGACAAAUCCAACUGGAAAGGGCUCUGUGGUGAUCUUCAUGUUAUCAGUAACUAUACAUGAGUUUCCUUGCUAACAGUUGUUAUCUUUCAACGUUGCAAGUUUAGCCCUAUUUGCAAUACAACAUUCAAGCAAAUAAUUUGUGCUUUAUAUUUUGAAAUGCAUGUGCAGCAUGUUUUUUUCUCUUUUAUCCAAGCUACUAUGCAAAAUUGUAUUGUUUUACGGCCAUUUGGUUCAUAGGAGUGAGCUUUGUAGGACUGGGAUAAUACAUGCAUGUGCAGUAUUAUAGAUACACAGUUAGCUGUUGAACAAUUCUUAUUUGUAGUUCUCUGAAAUAUUACUUCCUUACUUUAAAUUUACCUUCUUUCUUAUCCAUGUACAAGCAAAGGGAUUUAUAGCUGGUGAAGAGCAGCAAGGCAAGGCCAUUGCGCCGGCUGUUGAGCUUGAAAAGUUCGUAUGGAAUAUGCAAAAAAAUAUUUUUUCCGUUAUGUUCUGUUGGAAUUUGUCACAUUUCUUUUGUGAA